UGAUGGCAUUUGACAGGAGCUGUGGAGGAAGGCUUUCUUUUCUGAUGGCAAAGUUGCAAAGACACAUGCCAUGCCAGAAGCAGCCCGUGGAAUGGAACUGGCCUGUGCCUGUCUUCAUGGGAGUGUGAAAGAUACAUCAGGGCAGCAGAGGUGAGAACAAUGGUCCUGGAAGCAUCCGAUCUCUGGGUACUGACAUCUCCAGAUCUCUAGCUGAUCACAGAAGCCCUGCAAUGUGCAGAUUACAGAAAGAUGCUACACUGUUGGCUUUGAAGACUGAAGAAAGGCCUAUGAGCCAGGGAAUGCAACUGAAGAAGGUGGAAACGACAGAAAAACAAAUCCUCCCCUUGAUCUUCUGGAGACGUUGCGAUCCUGCUAACACCUUUAUUUCAGCCCAGUAAAAAUUAUUUCAGACUUCUGACAUCCAGACCUAUAAUAGAAUAAAUGUGUGUUGUUUUAAGCCACCGA